AUGAACGCUGGCGGCGUGCCUAAUACAUGCAAGUCGAGCGAACAGACGAGGAGCUUGCUCCUCUGACGUUAGCGGCGGACGGGUGAGUAACACGUGGAUAACCUACCUAUAAGACUGGGAUAACUUCGGGAAACCGGAGCUAAUACCGGAUAAUAUAUUGAACCGCAUGGUUCAAUAGUGAAAGACGGUUUUGCUGUCACUUAUAGAUGGAUUCGCGCCGCAUUAGCUAGUUGGUAAGGUAACGGCUUACCAAGGCAACGAUGCGUAGCCGACCUGAGAGGGUGAUCGGCCACACUGGAACUGAGACACGGUCCAGACUCCUACGGGAGGCAGCAGUAGGGAAUCUUCCGCAAUGGGCGAAAGCCUGACGGAGCAACGCCGCGUGAGUGAUGAAGGUCUUCGGAUCGUAAAACUCUGUUAUUAGGGAAGAACAAAUGUGUAAGUAACUAUGCACGUCUUGACGGUACCUAAUCAGAAAGCCACGGCUAACUACGUG
rnacentral:rRNA from 1 species